rnacentral:lncRNA from 1 species
GUUACUCCUACAUGGUUUGUCACACUAACUUAUGUUUUUCUUUUCUAUAUUUUUUAAUUUCAUUAUGUCAUGUACCUUCCCAGACCCUGCGUAAAGCGGGAGCCUUGUGCACUGGGUACGACCUUUUUAUGUCAUGUACCUAAAAAGAUGUCGCACUUGGUGCGAUGGCAAGUGCCUUCGCCCAUGAGCGGUAGGUCUCGGGUUCGAGACUUGGGAGCAGCCUCUCCAUAAAUGGGGGUAAGGCUAGCCGACAUUCACCUCUCCCAGACCCUGCGUAAAGCGGGAGCCUUGUGCACUGGGUACGACCUUUCUGUCAUGUACCUAAACUCUUUAGUUCAUUAUGUCAAGGCACUGAUUCACAACAAUGUCAAGUUUUGUCCAUUGAUCACAAUUCACCAGUAUCUUGUGAAAAUGAUUGUUUCUUUCGACUAUUAGAAAUGUUGACCCUUUUUGAGUGCACACUUUGGAAUGUUUUCAG